UACGAAGGGGGCUAGCGUUGCUCGGAAUCACUGGGCGUAAAGCGCACGUAGGCGGACUCUUAAGUCGGUGGUGAAAUCCUGGAGCUCAACUCCAGAACUGCCUUCGAUACUGGCGAUCUUGAGUCCGGAAGAGGUGAGUGGAACUCCUAGUGUAGAGGUGGAAUUCGUAGAUAUUAGGAAGAACACCGGUGGCGAAGGCGGCCAUCUGGACCGCAACUGACGCUGAGGCGGCGAAAAGCGUUGGGGAGCAAACAGGG
rnacentral:rRNA from 1 species